CUCAGACUGCUGUGCUAGCAAUCAGCGAGAUUCCGCGGGCGUAGGACCCUCCGAGCCAGGUGUGGGAUAUAGUCUCAUGGUGCGCCGUUUUUUAAGCCGGUCUGAAAAGCGCAAUAUUCGGGUUGGAGUGACCCAAUUUUCCAGGUGCGUCUGUCACCCCUUUCUUUGAUUCGGAAAGGGAACUCCCCGACCCCUUGCGCUUCCCAGGUGAGGCAAUGCCUCGCCCUGCUUCGGCUCGCGGACGGUGCGCACACCCACUGGCCUGCGCCCACUGUCUGGCACUCCCUAGUGAGAUGAACCCGGUACCUCAGAUGGAAAUGCAGAAAUCACCCGUCUUAUGCGUCGCUCACGCUGGGAGCUGUAGACCGGAGCUGUUCCUAUUCGGCCAUCUUGGCUCCUCCCCUCGGACCCUAUGCUGUUUACUUCUUCAUUACAGUAGCCAUGUUGCUCACAGCUUGAGGUGCAGCAGUCUGAACCACCCGGCGGCUGAGAAGAGGAACCAAAUGAGGAACUAUUCCAGAGUCUACUACCAUCUGUAUUUGUUCAUUGCCAGCACCAGUAAGGAAGGGAGGAAGAGAGGAAAUCAGGUGUACUUCAGAGGUCUCUGAAUCCAUCUACUGUCCUGAUUUGCCACAAUUAUUGUUUUGCAGGAGGGGCCUAGUGGAACGUGAUUGAAUCAUGGAGAGUGGACUUCCCCCUUGCUGUUCUCAUGAUAGAGUUCUCACAAGAUCUGGUAAUUUGAAAGUGUGCAGCAUGUCCCCGUUUGCUUUCUCUCUUCCUCCUGCUCUGACCAUGUGAAGAUGUGCCUUGCUUCCCCUUCAUCUUUGCCAUGAUUAUAAGUUUCCUGAGGCCUCCCCAGCCAGUUGGAA
rnacentral:lncRNA from 1 species